GAUGAAGAACGCAGCGAAAUGCGAUAAGUAGUGUGAAUUGCAGAAUUCAGUGAAUCAUCGAAUCUUUGAACGCACAUUGCGCCCCAUGGUAUUCCGUGGGGCAUGCCUGUUCGAGCGUCAUUUACCCCCUCAAGCUCCGCUUGGUGUUGGGCGUCUGUCCCGCUUCGCGCGCGGACUCGCCCCAAAGGUAUUGGCAGCGGUCGUGCCAGCUUCUCGCGCAGCACAUUGCGCUUCUCGAGGCACCGGUGGGCCCGCGUCCAUUAAGCUCACCCCCCCAGUUUGACCUCGGAUCAGGUAGGGAUACCCGCUGAACUUAAGCAUAUCAAUAAGCGGAGGA
rnacentral:misc_RNA from 1 species